rnacentral:rRNA from 1 species
CGCGUAGGCGGCCUUCUAAGUCGGACGUGAAAUCCCUCGGCUUAACCGAGGAACUGCGUCCGAUACUGAAAGGCUUGAAUCCGGGAGAGGGAUGUGGAAUUCCAGGUGUAGCGGUGAAAUGCGUAGAUAUCUGGAGGAACACCGGUGGCGAAGGCGGCAUCCUGGACCGGUAUUGACGCUGAGGCGCGAAAGCUAGGGGAGCAAACG